UACGUAGGUGGCAAGCGUUGUCCGGAUUUACUGGGCGUAAAGGGCGUGCAGGCGGUUUGUUAAGUGCAGGGUGAAAGCUCCCGGCUCAACUGGGAGAGGUCCUUGCAUACUGGCAAACUCGAGGGAGGCAGAGGAAAGUGGAAUUCCCGGUGUAGUGGUGAUAUGCGUAGAUAUCGGGAGGAACACCAGUGGCGAAGGCGGCUCACUGGCCCGGUACUGACGCUGAGGUGCGAAAGCGUGGGGAGCAAACAGG
rnacentral:rRNA from 1 species